CCCCGCACCCUCUCUCUGCUGGACCCGGCGAUCCCCCCUCCGCACCUUCCUUCUACUGGACCGGUUGCCCUCCCUCACUCUCCCUCUGCUGGACCCGGCGUCCCCUCCUCUGCACCCUCCUUCUGCACCCUCUCUCUAUGGACCCGGCGCCCCCUCCCGCACCCUCUCCUCAGCCUUCUCUCUCCGUGAGACCGGAAGGCCCUUAUCCGCGUUCUACCUUUUCUGGAUUGGGACACCGGCCCCCCCACCUCUCUGCUGGACCCAGACCUCCGUCCCUCCCCCCUCCUCUCCCUCCCUGCCUCUGCUGGACCUAGGAGUGCCGCUCCUCUCCAUCCUUCCCUCUCCCACCUGAUAGUCCCCUCUCCCUGUCCUGGACCCCGCCCCCUCCCCCCCAGCACCACCCGUCAGGAACCCAUUUCUAACAUCAGGGCCAGCUGCUCUCUUGCCUCAGAGGAGAGGGACUUUGGCUUGAUGGCUGAGCAGUACCUUCAGUGGAGAGACCAGAUUCUGCCUUUCCUGUCUCCAAUUCUCCUAGCCCCACCUGGAGCUAGUUCCGUCUGCUUUGUGGGUCUGCAGCCCUCAGACUUUUCCACCCAGUGGUUCAGGGCGUGGAAUCCUUGUUGCGUGGUAACUGCAGACCUGUGCCUUAGGCAGAGUCCUGGUUAGGCUCUUUUUCCUGAGUAUGAGGGAGAGGAGGCCGGGGCUGUGCCUCACUCGGAAUCCCGGCUGGAUUGCCACCAAUUUCCUGGGUUUAAAAGAGAGCAGGAAGAACGUUUAAAAUUUGGAGACAACUUGCUUAGUUUUUCUGCUCUUAAUCAUCAACAAGAACCAACAAUUAAGCUUGAAAGGUAUCUGAAGUCUAUUCAGAAUGUCGGGGAGGUCAGAAAUCCAGGAUAAUCUCUUUGCCUUAAGGCCAGCUGAUUAGCAACCUUGCUUCCAUCUGCCACCCCGAGUUCUACUUGCAACGUGACAUACUUGUCCGCAGGUCCUGGGGAUUGGCGCGAGGACAGAGCCCACAACAAUGGUCGUUUCACCCGCCAGCUCGGAAGCCCAGAUGGUGCAGUCGCUGGGCUUCGCCAUCUACCGCGCGCUGGACUGGGGGCUGGA
rnacentral:lncRNA from 1 species